GUUUGGUUCAGAUCUAUUUUGGUUUUGGGUUUAUGGAAUUAGAUAUUUAAGCUUCAUUCAGCUAUCUCAAUAUUUUGGUUCACCUUCGAUUCAGAUUUUUGCGGAUUCAGUUUGAGUUUGAAUAUCUUUUUUAAAUUAGAUAAAAAUCAAGAAUCUCAAUAUACCUUAAAUCCAAAAAUAAAAAUAACAUUCAGUAUUUACAUUUGAAUAUAUAAUGGUAAAUAUAUGAGAUAAACAUAAAAAUGAGUUACUUUUAGCUACUUGGAUAGAGACGUUAUGAGUAUUUUUGAAUAUUUUAACUAUUUUCAAAUAUUUUGGAUAAUUUUGAUUAUUUUUGAGAAUGUUGGAUAGUUUUAGUACAUUCGAGUAAACAUAAUUAAUAUAUUUAAAAAUAUAAUUCUAUUGAGUUAUUUUG
rnacentral:lncRNA from 1 species